CCCAACUGAGAGUCACCAGCAACCUUGCCUGUAGCCGUGGGUUUCCGUGCCCAGACCCAGCGGGGCCUCAGCUCACUGCCCACUCUCCAGAGUGGAAUGGGGAAAACAAGGUUCCUGGCACGU